rnacentral:rRNA from 1 species
GUAGGUGGCAAGCGUUGUCCGGAAUUAUUGGGCGUAAAGCGCGCGCAGGCGGUUCUUUAAGUCUGAUGUGAAAGCCCACGGCUCAACCGUGGAGGGUCAUUGGAAACUGGAGAACUUGAGUACAGAAGAGGAAAGCGGAAUUCCACGUGUAGCGGUGAAAUGCGUAGAGAUGUGGAGGAACACCAGUGGCGAAGGCGGCUUUCUGGUCUGUAACUGACGCUGAGGCACGAAAGCGUGGGGAGCAAACAGGGAUUAGAUACCCUGGUAGUCCACGCCGUAAACGAUGAGUGCUAAGUGUUAGGGGGUUUCCGCCCCCUUAGUGCUGCAGCUAACGCAUUAAGCACUCCGCCUGGGGAGUACGGCCGCAAGGCUG